CUUUUUUUCUCCAGCUCUUUCUCUGCAAAUGGAGCCCUGAAGAAUUAUAGGAUCCCCAGAGGAGAAGCUGUUUUUCACUGUAAUUUUCAAAAUUCAGAUGAGACCUCUUCUGCUACUUUUUCAAUCGCUGCUUUUGAGAAACAGGAAGGGGAUUGAUUCAGCCCCAUAAACUAUGAAUCUUCUGCUUAUGAUUCUGUUGGUAUCCCAGCCAGUCUCUGGGAAGCUUAGAAUGAAGUGUCCGCUGAAUUUCAAGCACCAAGAUGAAAAAAAGCCAUGGAGCUAUUACAGGCCAGGAGACCAUCUCAUUAGUAUCAUCAACACUGGAAAAAAAUCAUUCCGUACAACAACAUUGCCUUUCAACAGGGCUCCUUAUUGUCCGUUUGAUAUGUAAGUCAUUCACUGUGAUGGAGUUGCGUUCCCUGUAUUUGCAGCUCUAACACCCUCAUUCUUUUCUUCUUAUUACGCUUAUGUGUGUAUUGUAGGCAUAAUUUCUUGAGUCAUUUUUAUUUCCAUUGCUUCUCUUUUGUCUU